AUCAUAACAUUUUCUGGUAGUUUGACCAAAUUCAGAGGUCCCUGAGGUUCUUGGCUGGGCCCAAGCUGGCAGGAUGCUAAUACAUAAGUUCCACUUGCAUAUUUGCCAAAUCAAGUUUGUCCAUUUUUAGAGAUUAUGAAUAGACUAAGCAUGUCCGCUGUUAGGUUAAGUCUAUAAUGACCUUCAUAAUAUGGAUUCCUGGUUUUUGGUCAAACUGCUCAAACAGUUUGAUCCAGAAAUAGGGGAGGCACCUACAGCCUUCAAGUACAAUAACCACUAAUCCGUGUGUGUUUUUUAUGGUGUUAAUAAAGUAUAAAUCCCUUAAGAACAUGAUCUUGCAGUUUCAGCUAUUAACCAUGGGGUGUCAGCAAAGAAUUGAUGCUUUAAGAAAAGCAAUUAGUAUAUGUCAUAAAAAGCACAGUUAAAGUGACUCUUUCAUACAAAAUAGUGAUACAUUGUGCUGGCUAUACAGCCCAUACAUUAAGAUACAGAAUUUCAGAAUUUAAAAGCACACUUCUGUUUGUUGGUGCCAGUUUGCUGAAAUAUUAGCG